GGAAGGACCAUAUCUUAACCAAAGAGCAUCUGCUUUGCAUGCAGAAGGUCCCAGAUUCAAUCCCUGGUAUCUCCA